rnacentral:rRNA from 1 species
AUACGGAGGGUGCAAGCGUUACUCGGAAUCACAGGGCGUAAAGCGCGCGCAGGCGGCUUGAUAAGUUGGAUGUGAAAGCCUACGGCUCAACCGUAGAACUGCAUCCAAAACUGUCAAGCUAGAGUCUGGGAGGGGAAGAUGGAAUUAGUUGUGUAGGGGUAAAAUCCGUAGAGAUAACUAGGAAUACCAAAAGCGAAGGCGAUCUUCUGGAACAGUACUGACGCUGAGGCGCGAAAGCGUGGGGAGCAAACAGGAUUAGAAACCCCAGUAGUCC